CAGGGUAGCCUAGUGGUUAGAGUGGAGGGCGGCAGGGUAGCCUAGUGGUUAGAGUGGAGGGGCGGCAGGGUAGCCUAGUGGUUAGAGUGGAGGGGCGGCAGGGUAGCCUAGUGGUUAGAGUGGAGGGGCGGCAGGGUAGCCUAGUGGUUAGAGUGGAGGGGCGGCACGGUAGCCAAGUGGUUAGAGUGGAGGGGCGGCAGGGUAGCCUAGUGGUUAGAGUGGAGGGGCGGCAGGGUAGCCUAGUGGUUAGAGUGGAGGGGCGGCACAGUAGCCUAGUGGUUAGAGUGUAGAGGCGGCAGGGUAGCCUAGUGGUUAGAGUGUUGGACGAGCAACUGUAAAGGUUGCAAGUUCAUAUCCCCGAGCUGACAAGGUACAAAUCUGUCGUUCUGCCCCUGAACAGGCAGUUAAACCCACUGUUCCUAGACCAGUUAACCCACUGUUCCUAGACCAGUUAACCCACUGUUCCUAGACCAGUUAACCCACUGUUCCUAGACCAGUUAACCCACUGUUCCUAGACCAGUUAACCCACUGUUCCUAGACCAUUAAACCCACUGUUCCUAGACCAGUUAAACCCACUGUUCCUAGACCAGUUAAACCCACUGUUCCUAGACCAGUUAAACCCACUGUUCCUAGACCAGUUAAACCCACUGUUCCUAGACCAGUUAAACCCACUGUUCCUA